UAGGGAAUCUUCGGCAAUGGGGGGAACCCUGACCGAGCAACGCCGCGUGAGUGAAGAAGGUUUUCGGAUCGUAAAGCUCUGUUGUUAAGGAAGAACGAGUGUGAGAAUGGAAAGUUCAUGCUGUGACGGUACUUAACCAGAAAGCCACGGCUAACUACGUGCCAGCAGCCGCGGUAAUACGUAGGUGGCAAGCGUUGUCCGGAUUUAUUGGGCGUAAAGCGAGUGCAGGCGGUCAAUUAAGUCUGAUGUGAAAGCCGCCGGCUCAACCGGGGAAGGGCAGUGGAAAAUGGGUGACUUGAGAGCAGAAGAGGGGGGUGGAAUUCCAUGUGUAGCGGUGAAAUGCGUAGAUAUAUGGAGGAACACCAGUGGCGAAGGCGACUCUCUGGUCUGUAACUGACGCUGAGGCUCGAAAGCGUGGGUAGCAAACAGG
rnacentral:rRNA from 1 species